CCCUUAGAUGUUCUGGGCCGCACGCGCGCUACACUGACGAAUGCAACGAGCUUAUAACCUUGGCCGAAAGGUCUGGGUAAUCUCCAAAUUUCGUCGUGAUGGGGAUAGAUUAUUGCAAUUAUUAAUCUUCAACGAGGAAUGCCUAGUAAGCGCAAGUCAUCAGCUUGCGUUGAUUACGUCCCUGCCCUUUGUACACACCGCCCGUCGCUCCUACCGAUUUCGAGUGGUUCGGUGAACCUUUCGGACCGGCAAUGCCUCGUGUUGCGCCGGAAAGUCAAGUAAACCAUAUCACUUAGAGGAAGGAGAAGUCGUANCA
rnacentral:rRNA from 1 species